rnacentral:lncRNA from 1 species
UCCCCUUCGAACCCUCGCCUGGGAACCUCCCUCCAUAUCCCGCGGAUGCAGCUACAAAAAGCAAAUAAAUAAAUAAAUAAAUAAAUAAAUAAAUAAAUAAAUAAAUAAAUGCUUACUUAUUAUCUUUGUAAAUUAGUGGGGAGAAAAAGCCAUUUCCAUAUGGGAACCCCAAGGACCCAGGCCUGGGGACCCUGAGCAAAUCAAUGGGGCACAGCACGUGGCUCACUGCCCUGCGCGUCCCCAGAGAGGAAGGACCAUUCUGGACGGUUUCUUGGUCCCCGGUCCCCGGACAGUACUCGCACCAGGACCGCUGCCAGGGCCUGGAGAGAGCGGAUCCAGCGUCCCAGCUCCGGAUCCAGCUUCCCAGCUCCGAGGCUCCUCAGACAGAAGAGGGCGGGGCCUCGUUCUUCCCUCCUGCCCCCAGGCUGCCAGGCUGCGUUUCAUAGUUUGAUUGAAAGUGUGCCAUCCCGUCUGUCUCUCCGCAAACAAAUGGAAUAUUCUGAGCUUCCAGCAUUUGGAGGCACACAGCUUGCAUCUUUUCCUGAAGAAAAAUAAAUAGCAUGUGUGGUUAACAACCGAGUCCUGAUGGAGAAAACAAUGCUGCCGACCAGAAGCCCUUGCGCAACCGGGGCCGCAGACGCCAGGCAGGUAGCUGAGCUUCGGCUCCUCUGCAAUGCCAAGUCCAUCCACUGUCAGAAGACCCCUCCUCCUCUGCCACCAGCUCACCCACACCCAUCCAGGACCCUGGCUUGCAGGGCUGUCCAUGUCUGUUUACAAACCGCAGGAGAGAAAGCAGCUCAAGGCAUAGGUCAAGCUGCAGAGCUUUUUGGAACAAGGGGUUUAAAACCUACCUUUUUUUGGAAUAAUCCCAGCUCCCAACUCUGGGAGAAACAAAUACAAACCAGAAUUCUCUGGCUGCGGUCUGUCUGAAUAUCUGGACACUUUUCCCAGCAUGUGACAUCCUCUUCCGUCCAGACUUCAAGGUUAAAAAUAGCCUGGCAAACCCUUUGAACUAUUGUCUCUUUCAAACACAAUAUGGAUUGUAUGUGUGUUUACCACUUGGAAGAAACGCUUUGUGACACAAGACAUGCUGACAGGGUGUUUCAGGCUAAGGGUGGAGGAGGGUGUCCACGGACUUGUUGAAUUUACACUAAAUACAUACACACACCUGUUCCCACGCACCCAGGCUGCUCCUGCCUGGUACAACCAUUCCCAAGCGGCUGCUAAGACUGUAACAACCCUGUGGGGUGAUCCAAUUGACCAAAACUCAGCAGGAAGCCCCAUUGUCUUCCUCCCUCCAAUAGAUCAGCAAAACGCGUGAUCAGGAAGAUUUUCUCUCUCUCUCUCUCUCUCUCUCUCUCUCUCUCUCUCUCUCUCUCUCUNNNNNNNNNNNNNNNNNCCCCCUCUUUUUUUUUUUUUUUUUUGGCCACCCUGCGGCAUAUCAAGUUCCCAGGCCAGGGAUAAGAUCCGAGCUGCAGUUGCAACCUAAGCCACAGCUUCAGCAAUGUCAGAUCCUUAACCCACUGUGCUGGACCGGGGAUCGAACUCUCACCCCAGCACUCCCAAGACACUGCCCAUCCCAUUGCGCCACAACAGGAAAUCUGGGAAGAAUUUUAAGAAGUGGCCAUCUUAAAAUUUCUAACUGCCUUUCUGGUCCCAGCAGAUUUUUGUUCAAGAAAGAAUCACUAGGUAACCUUCUCUCUUUAAAGGCCCUGGGCCUUAAGAAAGGCCUCUCCUUCUAGAACCACUCUCCAUGCAGAGGUGGCUGCUGGCAGGACCUGAGAACCUUUGCUGUGGAGCCAGAACGCCUCCCUGGGAGCACAGGGAUGGGGAAUUGGCCUGAGUUUUUGAGGUUCACAAUCCUAGAGCCUCUUGGUUGGACUGGAACAUUCUGGCCAUGGUCAGCUGGCAGGACAGGAGCAAGAGCUUCUCAGAAAAUGGGCGGCCCUCCUCAACCAACUGCCCCGAAUAAAACUGGUAGAACCUUCCA